rnacentral:tRNA from 1 species
GGUCCCGUAGCUCAACUGAAUAGAGUGUCUGACUACGGAUCAGGAGGUUGAAGGUUUGAAUCCUUCCGGGAUCAC